rnacentral:lncRNA from 1 species
UGGUUAAAGCAGCCCUAGAUGAAGGAGGCGCACGGCAAGGAGUUAGUUUGGCUCUGGCAGUCCUGAUUGUGGGAGCUCUGGUGAGCUGCUCCUGCCCUUCAGCCAGCAGUGCCUGUGGCCUCUCCUUGGUGCCCUCGCCCUGCCUGCAGUGUGUCUGGAGCUCUGAGGAGCGGGGCAGCCUCGGAGGCUUCGCUUUCCUUCCCAUCCGGCCGUGCUGAAACGGGAGCUGAGCCUUGGCACGGGUUUGUUUGUCCUCUGGAGAGCCUCGGGCGCUCACCCUGGGCUCAGCGGGUCCAGCGCUUGCUCUGCUCACUGCAGGUGAGUUGAUCCUGCCUGGUGCUGAGCAGGAGUCCUCUGGGAUAAGGGGAAAGCCUUGCAUCUUCCCCCGAAGGCAGCACCU